rnacentral:lncRNA from 1 species
AAAACAAAAUAAAGUAUUUCACCAUGAUUGAUUAAGAAGACAAUGGUAAUAGAUAAUGCAUUAAAUAUUAUAUACCAUAUAAUCGCUGAGAAUCGAACUCGUAACCCUUUAGAAUUUAUCACAACAAUCACACGGUCCUGGUGGAAAACAUUAUACUUACAACUACGUCAUAUCUCAUAGUAGUUGGUCAAUCGUGAUGAAAUCCCUUUUUAACGAUUGCAAGAAUUUUUUUCCAUAAUAAUAUUUAUUUGACACGGG